CCGUAGCCCAAGAGAUCGGGAUAACACCUGGAAACAGAUGCUAAUACCGGAUAACAACAGAUGAUGCCUAUCAACUGCUUAAAAGAUGGUUCUGCUAUCACUCUUGGAUGGACCUGCGGUGCAUUAGCUAGUUGGUAGGGUAACGGCCUACCAAGGCGAUGAUGCAUAGCCGAGUUGAGAGACUGAUCGGCCACAUUGGGACUGAGACACGGCCCAAACUCCUACGGGAGGCAGCAGGU
rnacentral:rRNA from 1 species